ACACAUGCAAGUCGAACGGUGAAGCGGGUGCUUGCACUCGUGGAUCAGUGGCGAACGGGUGAGUAACACGUGAGUAACCUGCCCAUCACUCUGGGAUAAGCGCUGGAAACGGCGUCUAAUACUGGAUACGACCAACCCUUGCAUGGGGUGUUGGUGGAAAGAUUUAUCGGUGGUGGAUGGACUCGCGUCCUAUCAGCUUGUUGGUGGGGUAAUGGCCUACCAAGGCGACGACGGGUAGCCGGCCUGAGAGGGCGACCGGCCACACUGGGACUGAGACACGGCCCAGACUCCUACGGGAGGCAGCAGUGGGGAAUAUUGCACAAUGGGCGAAAGCCUGAUGCAGCGACGCCGCGUGAGGGAUGACGGCCUUCGGGUUGUAAACCUCUUUCAGCAGGGAAGAAGCUUUUGUGACGGUACCUGCAGAAGAAGCACCGGCUAACUACGUGCCAGCAGCCGCGGGUAAUACGUAGGGUGCGAGCGUUGUCCGGAAUUAUUGGGCGUAAAGAGCUUGUAGGCGGUUUGUCGCGUCUGCUGUGAAAAUCUGGGGCUUAACCCCUGGACGUGCAGUGGGUACGGGCAGACUAGAGUGUGGUAGGGGAGACUGGAAUUCCUGGUGUAGCGGUGGAAUGCGCAGAUAUCAGGAGGAACACCGAUGGCGAAGGCAGGUCUCUGGGCCAUUACUGACGCUGAGAAGCGAAAGCAUGGGGAGCGAACAGGAUUAGAUACCCUGGUAGUCCAUGCCGUAAACGUUGGGCGCUAGGCGUGGGUCUCAUUCCACGAGAUCCGUGUCGAAGCUAACGCAUUAAGCGCCCCGCCUGGGGAGUACGGCCGCAAGGCUAAAACUCAAAGGGAAUUUGACGGGGGCCCGCACAAGCGGCGGAGCAUGCUGAUUAAUUCGAUGCAACGCGAAGAACCUUACCAAGGCUUGACAUGCACCGGACAGUCCCAGAGAUGGGAUCUUCUUCGGACUGGUGCACAGGUGGUGCAUGGUUGUCGUCAGCUCGUGUCGUGAGAUGUUGGGUUAAGUCCCGCAACGAGCGCAACCCUCGUUCUAUGUUGCCAGCACGUGAUGGUGGGGACUCAUAGGAGACUGCCGGGGUCAACUCGGAGGAAGGUGGGGAUGACGUCAAAUCAUCAUGCCCCUUAUGUCUUGGGCUUCAAGCAUGCUACAAUGGCCGGUACAGAGGGUUGCGAUGCCGUGAGGUGGAGCGAAUCCCAAAAAACCGGUCUCAGUUCGGAUUGGGGUCUGCAACUCGACCCCAUGAAGUCGGAGUCGCUAGUAAUCGCAGAUCAGCAACGCUGCGGUGAAUACGUUCCCGGGCCUUGUACACACCGCCCGUCAAGUCACGAAAGUCGGUAACACCCGAAGCCGGUGGCCUAACCCUUGUGGGAGGAGCCGUCUAA
rnacentral:rRNA from 1 species